rnacentral:rRNA from 1 species
CAGCAGCCGCGGUAAGACAGAGGAUGCAAGCGUUAUCCAGAAUGAUUGGGCGUAAAGCGUCUGUAGGUGGCUUUUCAAGUCCGCUGUCAAAUCCCAGGGCUCAACCCUGGACAGGCGGUGGAAACUACCAAGCUAGAGUACGGUAGGGGCAGAGGGAAUUUCCAGUGGAGCGGUGAAAUGCGUUGAGAUCGGAAAGAACACCAACGGCGAAAGCACUCUGCUGGGCCGACACUGACACUGAGAGACGAAAGCUAGGGGAGCAAAUGGGAUUAGAUACCCCAGUAGUCCCUGUCUCUUAUAU